CUGCAGGUUUGAUCGGUCCUCCCACACAACAGGACCUCCUGCAGCAAAAUCCACACAAUCAACAUACUCACCUCCUUCCACAAUCGCUCUGACCACACCUCCAUCACCGUUGUCACCGACUCUCUCUCUUGCAGAGGCCGCGCCCGCACUCCAGACUCGCGAGGAGGAAGUGCGCCAGAUGUUCCGGAGACAAAAGAUCAUCAAGGCACUGGGCCCAGACGGCGUGUCACCUUCCUG